GAUGAACGCUGGCGGCGUGCCUAAUACAUGCAAGUCGAGCGAACAGAUGAGGAGCUUGCUCCUCUGACGUUAGCGGCGGACGGGUGAGUAACACGUGGAUAACCUACCUAUAAGACUGGGAUAACUUCGGGAAACCGGAGCUAAUACCGGAUAAUAUAUUGAACCGCAUGGUUCAAUAGUGAAAGACGGUUUUGCUGUCACUUAUAGAUGGAUCCGCGCCGCAUUAGCUAGUUGGUAAGGUAACGGCUUACCAAGGCAACGAUGCGUAGCCGACCUGAGAGGGUGAUCGGCCACACUGGAACUGAGACACGGUCCAGACUCCUACGGGAGGCAGCAGUAGGGAAUCUUCCGCAAUGGGCGAAAGCUUGACGGAGCGACGCCGCGUGAGUGAUGAAGGUCUUCGGAUCGUAAAACUCUGUUAUUAGGGAAGAACAAAUGUGUAAGUAACUAUGCACGUCUUGACGGUACCUAAUCAGAAAGCCACGGCUAACUACGUG
rnacentral:rRNA from 1 species